GAUGAACGCUGACAGAAUGCUUAACACAUGCAAGUCUUUGGCGAAGCUGUGCUUGCACAGCCUAGCCAAGGCGGACGGGUGAGUAACGCGUAAGGAACUUGCCCUGCAGUCAGGGAUAACAGACGGAAACGACUGAUAAGACCUGGUAAAGUCAGGCGGACUCAUGUCCAGCCUGAUGAAAAGAGAUGCUGCAGGAGAGCCUUGCGUCCUAUUAGCUUGUUGGUGGGGUAACGGCCCACCAAGGCGAUGAUAGGUAGCCGGCCUGAGAGGGUGGACGGCCACAGGGGGACGGGGUUACGGCCCUAACUCCACCGGAGGGAAGCGUUGGGAAAUAUGGGACAAUGGGGCAACCCUGAUCCAGCAAUUCUGUGUGCACGAUGAAGGUUUUCGGAUUGUAAAGUGCUUUCAGCAGGGAAGAAAAAAAUGACGGUACCUGCAGAAGAAGCGACGGCUAAAUACGUG
rnacentral:rRNA from 1 species